UACGGGGGGGGCAAGCGUUGUUCGGAAUUACUGGGCGUAAAGGGCUCGUAGGCGGCCAACUAAGUCAGACGUGAAAUCCCUCGGCUUAACCGGGGAACUGCGUCUGAUACUGGAUGGCUUGAAUCCGGGAGAGGGAUGCGGAAUUCCAGGUGUAGCGGUGAAAUGCGUAGAUAUCAGGAGGAACACCGAUGGCGAAGGCAGGUCUCUGGGCCAUAACUGACGCUGAGAAGCGAAAGCAUGGGGAGCGAACAGG
rnacentral:rRNA from 1 species